CAGCCGCGGUAAUACGGAGGGUGCGAGCGUUAAUCGGAAUUACUGGGCGUAAAGACGCAUGCAGGCGGCCGCGUUUAAGUCAGAUGUGAAAGACCCGGGGCGUUAACCUCGGAAGUUAGCAUUUGUAAACUAGGCAGGCUAGAGUCUUGUAGAGGGGGUAGGGAAGUUUACUAGGUGUAGCGGUGAAAUAGCGUAGAGAUCUGAAGGAAUACCAGUGGCGAAGGCGGCCCCCUGGACAAAGACUGACGCUCAGAUGCGAAAGCGUGGGGAGCAAACAGGAUUAGAUACCCUGGUAG
rnacentral:rRNA from 1 species